CGGGAGGCAGCAGUGGGGAAUAUGCACAUGGCGCAAGCCUGAUGCAGCGACGCCGCGUGGGGGAUGACGGCCUUCGGGUGUAAACCUCUUCAGCAGGGAAGAAGCGAGAGUGACGGUACUGCAGAAGAAGCGCCGGCUAACUACGUGCCAGCAGCCGCGGUAAUACGUAGGGCGCAAGCGUUGUCCGGAAUUAUUGGGCGUAAAGAGCUUGUAGGUGGCGUGUCGCGUCUGCCGUGAAAGCCUGGGGCUCAACCCCGGGUCUGCGGUGGGUACGGGCAGGCUAGAGUGUGGUAGGGGAGACUGGAACUCCUGGUGUAGCGGUGAAAUGCGCAGAUAUCAGGAAGAACACCGAUGGCGAAGGCAGGUCUCUGGGCCACUACUGACGCUGAGAAGCGAAAGCAUGGGUAGCGAACAGGAUUAGAUACCCUGGUAGUCCAUGCCGUAAACGUUGGGCACUAGGUGUGGGGGACAUUCCACGUCUUCCGCGCCGUAGCUAACGCAUUAAGUGCCCCGCCUGGGGAGUACGGCCGCAAGGCUGAAACUCAAAGGAAUUGACGGGGGCCCGCACAAGCGGCGGAGCAUGCGGAUUAAUUCGAUGCAACGCGAAGAACCUUACCAAGGCUUGACAUGCACCGGAUCGCUGCAGAGAUGUGGCUUCCUUUGGGCCGGUGCACAGGUGGUGCAUGGUUGUCGUCAGCUCGUGUCGUGAGAUGUUGGGUUAAGUCCCGCAACGAGCGCAACCCCUGUCCUAUGUUGCCAGCGCGUUAUGGCGGGGACUCAUGGGAGACUGCCGGGGUCAACUCGGAGGAAGGUGGGGACGACGUCAAAUCAUCAUGCCCCUUAUGUCUUGGGCUUCACGCAUGCUACAAUGGCCGGUACAAAGGGUGGCGAAACUGUGAGGUGGAGCGAAUCCCGGAAAGCCGGUCUCAGUUCGGAUUGGGGUCUGCAACUCGACCCCAUGAAGUCGGAGUCGCUAGUAAUCGCAGAUCAGCAUUGCCGCGGUGAAUACGUUCCCGGG
rnacentral:rRNA from 1 species